CAAAUUUCUGCCCUAUCAAGUUUCGAUGGUAGGAUAGAGGCCUACCAUGCGGGUGACGGGUAACGGCGAAUUAGGGUUCGAUUCCGGAGAGGGAGCCUGAGAAACGGCUACCACAUCUAAGGAAGGCAGCAGGCGCGCAAAUUACCCAAUCCUGAUUCAGGGAGGUAGUGACAAUAAAUAACAAUCCAGGACUUCGGUCUUGGAAUUGGAAUGAGAACAAUUUAAAUCUCUUAUCGAGGAACAAUUGGAGGGCAAGUCUGGUGCCAGCAGCCGCGGUAAUUCCAGCUCCAAUAGCGUAUAUUAAAGUUGUUGCAGUUAAAUAGCUCGUAGUUGAAUCUUGGGGCUGGUUUGGCGGUCGCGUCUUUGACGUGUACUGUCGGCCGGUUCUUUUACUUGUGGGGAACGUAUGUGCCCUUUGCGGGGUGUGUACGGGAACCAUGGCUGUUACUUUGAAAAAAUUAGAGUGUUUAAAGCGGGCGUAAGCUUGUAUACAUUAGCAUGGAAUAAUAGAAUAGGACUUUGGUUUAUUUG
rnacentral:rRNA from 1 species